GAGGGUAUAGCUCAAUGGUAGAGUGUGUGCUUAGCAUGCACGAGGUCCUGGGUUCACUCCCCAGUACUCCA
rnacentral:tRNA from 1 species